rnacentral:lncRNA from 1 species
GAAAUGUUGUCGACUUAAGUUUUGAGUUAAACUGUUCGUUAGGUAGUAUCUAUGAGUUAUGUCGGGGAUAGAAAGUAAACAACAACAAAUAAACAAAUAAAGAAAAAUAGAAAUGAAAAUGAUUGACAAUUAUGAGAAAAAGAUAUAAAAAGUAUGAUAUUGUAAUCGAAUCUUUAAAAACUAAAUUUAAAUACCUUUUUUUUUUAAUUUUAAUUGAAUCCUAAAUAAAUAUAAUUAUUAUUUUUUAUUUCAAAGUAUUUUUUAUACAUUUACGAAAGCUUGAAUAUUUGAACACGUUUAAUAAGUAAUUUAAAUAAGAUCAAUACACAAAAAUUGAUAUUUUGGUGUUAAUAAUUAUUUCACAAACGUAAUUAAUUUACAUCAAAGGUUUUUUUGUUUACUUUUACAAACUAAUGUAUAUUAACCCAGGCUUUGCAGUUGAGGCACGGAUAAAUAAUGAGUCAUCGGUACCCGAAUCUGAUUGGAUAUCAAAAUCUGCAGUAACGAUACAAAAUCGAGGAACAAAUAGAUAUAUGCAAGCACUAGAGAAAAACUGCGUGAUUUUUAAAGAGCUUUUAUCAUCAAUUCCAGGACAAAGGCCAAAAGAUUUCCAUAUAUGUAAGCUUUUAGAAUUUACACAUUAAAAAAAAUAUUUACAUUUUACAUUCACCUGUCCGGCUACUAUUGAAGACAUUAAAAUCUGAUGGUUGUUUGUGUUUUGUGGUUACUGUAAACAUAUUUUAUCAAUAAUAAUAUACAUAAUUUGGCAUUAACACUGUCGCUGGGUUGUUGCCUUGUUGACACAAACCGUAUAUCAGCUGUAAACAAUAUUGAAAAGAACAAUAUAUUAUUACUAGUCUUAUAGAUGUGAACAAAUAUCAUCAGCAUAAACAAAGGUUAAUUAUAAAAUUAAUCCGUUAGUUUUUACUUCGGAAUUGUUUUACAUUUGUCAUAUUGGAGCCAUGUGUAGCUGAUUAUUAUAUUCCGUAGGGUUUUGCUCAUUGUUCAGAGUUGGUGUUAUUUAAACGACACAUAUCCCUUCGACCAGCAUAUUUGGUUUAUUUUAAAGUAAUUGUACAAUAUACAAUACAACAACAAUUUAUUAACGUCUCACCAUCAAUAAUACAGUACAUUCACAAGUUAACCUUUUUUAAAAUAAUUAAUGCCAUUCUAAAAAGAAUUAUGAGAGACAGAUUAAAAGGAACUAGUUUUUACAAAUUUCAAAAGCUAUUAUAAAACAAAAGUUAAAUCAUAAAACAUAUUCACAUCUAUAAUCGGUGUAAAACACGUCUUCUGCGGUCUAAAAUAAGUUUGCAGGUUUUGACACAUUUUGUAUGACAUUAAUAUUGUCACUCGCUAAAAUAAAUGAAAGUUUCAAGGAAUAUGGUGAUAAACUAAAAUUUUCGUUUUCAAAGUUUAAAAUCUUUUACACUUCGUCUCUAAGAUCGUCAUACAACGGACAUUCAGUCAAUACAUGCUCCUCCGUUUCAAUUGUAUCGUCACAAACAAAACAUGUUCUUUGAUCUAUUGGAAGACUCUCGUAGCGUCCUGUCUCCAUCCGUAUUGGGGCAACACCAUAGCGAAACUGAGAGUACGCUCUUCUGUGUGAUGGUAUAAUUAGUUUUAUCUAUAUAGGUAAAGUUCUGUAUAAAAAUCCUGUUUAAAUGUUUUAUAUGUACGUAGUUUGUUACAUGUACCUCCUGGUCCGUUUCGUCUAGUAGUGUCUAAUGAUACAAAUCUUCAUUCCAUUUCUGUUUGAAGUCGGACAGAAGUUUUACAUGUAUAGCAUUGUUAACUUACUGCUUAUCAAUAUCGGUGUCAUUAUUCAAGUUCGCUAUCCCACAUGAUUCGAAUUGACUAUAAAUUCUAAAGUUUGAGUUUUUGCACGCUCGAUGACGUCUGAAAUUCUGCUCUGCCCAAUAGUUUAUUUUCAUACUAUUCUACUUUCAUCCAUAAUCGUGACCGAUUCCAGUAGUUUAUGAUUACCUGCCAUUGAUUCACAAACGGUGGUGUCGAUCCUUAAUCCCCAUUAACUGCAACGGUGUAAGUAUAACACGCUUGUGAUUCACUAUUUUACGGAAUUGAAAAGCCAGUUAUAUUUUAAUAAAGCAAAGACAAACCCGUUAAAACUACCAAAAAACACGUUUGUUUUUAAUGUCAUCAACGGCAAAACUACAAAGCAAAAACAAUUGAACAAUUCCAAACCUCCCCCCCCCUUUACAAAAGUUAGUACUACUAAAGGAAAAUGAUGAAUCAACGGAAAUCAAUAUUACAAUAUUGAAAUAUUUUUUUUUUUUUUAUUUAUUUAAAGGUCACUUUACAGAGGAGCGUCGGAUAGAAUCUAGUAGUCAUGCAAUGUUGCGACGUUACAUGGAUGAGGAGCAUAAGGAUUACCUACAUUUGUACAUGUAACGUGUGACGGAAACAUUAUACUCGUAAGUCAUAAGACAAUAGAACACGAAUCAAUCAGAGCAAUCUGUUCUUUUCAUUUCUGUUUGAGAUUGAAAAUUUUACGCAUUUAUUUUGUUACACAGAAUUUGUUUUUUUCUGACUGUUGCACCUUUUGAACGAUGCAGAUAUCUAUAUUAAUAAAAUGUGUCAAACCCCUAUUAAAGAUACCAAUUAUUAUGUUUCAGUACGCUAGACGCUCAUAUCGGCUACAUAAGACUCAUCAGUAGCGUUCGAAUCAAAAUAAUUAGAAGGUCGAAUCAAAUACGACGUUGAAGAGCUUUCUGUCAUGGUGUAAAUUCUGUGACUUUAUUUCAUAUUUUUUAUAACUGUUUUAUGUUGUUACAAACUGUCUCAAAUCCAUAUGUCGUAAUCUGCUUGAAGUACAAUUAGUAAAUAGAACUUAAGCAGUCGAUGUCAUUUUGGGAUAACGGAUAAGCUAACUUUAACAGUACAUUUUGUACUUGUAAAGAGACCAAUUUUUUUCAAAUUUAUAUUAAUUAGUGUCAUAUCAUAUUAGAACAAUUCAAAAUUUGUUAUAAAAAGAGACCUUAAGAAAAUAAAGUCAGUGAGGAUUUCCGAACGUUUUAAUACGGAACUCGUAUUGCUACUUUAAGGACUUUUCAGCGGACUGUGCCGUUGUUAUUAUUUUAUGGACUUCCAUAUGUAUCUUUGAUUUAUGUUAUUAUAUUGAUUUAGUUUGGAUUCAAUAAUAGAACAUUGGAAGUAUAAACUGUGUAUUUUUUAUUUAUGCAAAUCUUCCGCUAGUAAAACUACGAUACGUCAAUUGACCCCCAAAAAAUCCAAACAAUUGUACCAAAUAUGCUUAUUAUUGAUCAAACUGUUUUUAUAUUCACAAUUCUUUUUUUUUUUUUUUUUUUUUUUUUUUCAUCUUUAUUUCUUUUGAUUUACAACAGAGUAGUACAUGUUCCGUCUUCAAAUUAAAAGUGGGAAGAAUGCGUGCUUUCGUCAUUAUGGAAGAGAUUGUAACAGGAAAGGUUCUUUGCUUAGAAUAUUUCAAUGAUUGUUGUGCAAAGUUUAUUCAUCCAACAAAUUAUGCAGCUGACCAUAACUACAUCGAUCACAUGGAGGAAAAAUUCAGAUUCGAGAGGGAUUCCGUAACUUGUUUAAAACAAUAAAUUCUAACUUUACUAUUUAUGGUCUAACGAUGAUCUCAGAAAGAGGAUUGUCUCCCCUGAAUACCAACGACGAAUGAACAAGAAGAGCACAAUACAACGUAUGAAAGUAGUAGAGGCUAAUGUGUUUAUUUUCCUGUUUACUAUUGCUUGUUUAAAAAAGGAAAUAAAGGUGAAAACAUUAUUGU